AUGUCCCUGCAGUCUCUCCUUUAUCUGCUCAUCACACCGCUCAUCUCUUCACUCAGCACCAGAGUCCCAUCACACACGGACAUCAUGAUUGCCAACUUGAGAGGAACAAAGCUGAUCGUCAGCAAUGCUGCUCUCCCGGUUCCUGUUCUGACCGUUCUCCCUCCGUCCAGUGAAGAGCUGAAGUCUAAUAAAGCCACUCUAGUGUGUUUGGCCAGUGACAUGUCUGUCGGUUUUGCUGAUGUCCGCUGGCUCGUGAACGGGAACUCGGUCACCAGUGGAGUCAUCACCGGCUCUGUACAGCAGCAAGACAAUAAGAAAUUCACACUGAGCAGCUACUUGACCAUCGACAGCUCCGAGUGGGACAACAGCAAAGUCAUAACAUGUGAAGUGUCUGCUGGAGGAAAAGCCGCAUCAGUGAAGAUUAACAAGUCUGAAUGCAGUGAAUGAACCUGAUUAUUGCUUUAUACAUAUAUCAAUCUUUCAGAAAAAGUUUAUAGAUGUUAUAGAUGAAUCUGUAGAAAGAAAGGAUCUAAACUCCUGCAUGUAAUCAAAUUAGAAGCUUAAUAAAAGUGCAAU